GCGGCUUCCCGGGCGGGCGGCGAGCGCGGGGAGCGGCUGUCGCGCGCGCUCGCGCAGUGGCAUGCCGGUGGGAGGGCGAGGGUAGCCAGGGACGCGCGAGAAUCCCUGCCUGCACACCGAGGCGCGGCUGCAGGUGUGGGGGCAGCUCGCGGGCGGCGGAGCCUCCUGUGUGUGUGUGUUUGGGGUUUAUCGAUGUGGGGAAGCGCCUGUAAUUGCGGCCACGUGGAUACUGAAGGAAAACUCCUGUGACCUCAAUUGUUCUGACGACCUUAGAAAUUCUUCAGCCUGGAGCUGUGUACCCAACAGGCAGACGGCUCCGUCUUUUUAUGUUGUAUAAGUGUGGAGACACUGGUAUCCACAGUUUAAGAGACUAAAUAGAAGCUUUCAAGGAGGAAUAUGGUAAGUAAAAUGCAGCUCUAAACUUACAAAGAGUCACUGACCUACAAAACCAGGGACAGGUGUCAGCUGAUCUAGUUCCCAGCGACAACACUGCUGUGUUGAAUUCGCUUUAGACAACUCUUUUAAACUUUUAAACCUCUAUUUCACCAUCUUCCAAAUGGGAGUGAUGAGAUCUGCUUUUCCCUUUCUAUCUUAGCUAAUAACUGAGUAUAUUGUGGGUGCAAUACAAAGCCAAGAAUUAGAUUCGUUAAUAGGCAAGUUGAAGCUGUGCCUCUAGUGAAGGCAGGCAUUGGUGUCAAUGUCACCCUCGAAAUACCUGUGGGAGACACUUCUCUGUGGUUCAUAGCAAGGGGUCUUAGGUUGGCCUUUCAAGGACAUUGCUUCACGGAGUAUUGAUGGUAUUCCCUAGGCGGACAGACUUUUGGAUGACUGAGUGAACACCAGAGGCUGCCAAAGGUUCUCUCACUAGGUAUUUGAUAAUCAGAUAAAAAUAUAAGGACAGGUGUCAGGGAAGGCAGCAGGGGGAAAAGUACACUAAACUGCACAGAAAAGGAACUAAAAUUGACCUCGAUUGGCUCAAUCUCAGGACCGGAGCUGGCCUCUCCUGCUUAUCUGGCUGAAAUACUGAAAGAAAAAUCUCAUUUCCACAGAACCAAAUCACCAAAGAGAAUCAGAAACCCUCAUCCAUGGCGCUGCCCGCCGAGUUGCCAGGAAUAGUACUUACCCUAGUGGCCUGAAAUAAUUAUGCAUCUUGCUCAGCACCUUGUCCUGGACUGAGGAUUGAUUUAGGCCACUGGGAAAACGAGGGCCCAGGAUUCUGCCGCUGAACUGCAAUGCCAUUUUUCUGUUAUGGGAUACACCAGGAGUAGGAGCUAGCAAAGAUAGACACAUUUCCAUCUCUUUGGGGGUUCUGUUUGUUAUGAGAAACAGCAUGGUUG
rnacentral:lncRNA from 1 species